CAUUAGAUGGCUGAAAGUAAGUAUAGGUCUCUUAAACCUCUUAAUAGUAAAUAACGAUUACUUUUAAUGA
rnacentral:tRNA from 1 species